rnacentral:rRNA from 1 species
UACGUAGGGAGCGAGCGUUGUCCGAAGUUACUGGGCGUAAAGCGCGUGUAGGCGGGUUGUUAAGUCCGCUGUGAAAGCCCGGGGCUUAACCCCGGAGGGUCGGUGGAUACUGGCAGUCUUGAAGUGGCUAGGGGGAAAUGGAAUUACCGGUGUAGCGGUGAAAUGCGUAGAGAUCGGUAGGAACACCAGUGGCGAAGGCGGUUUCCUGGAGCCCACUUGACGCUGAGACGCGAAAGCUGGGGGAGCGAACGGG